AUCCGGCCGAUGAGUCUCAAAUGAGACGAAACGCACGUCCUUGAU
rfam:Schistosoma curassoni strain Dakar, Senegal genome assembly, scaffold: SCTD_scaffold0005323